GACGAACGCUGGCGGCGUGCUUAACACAUGCAAGUCGAACGGAAAGACCCUGCGUUUGCGGGGUGCUCGAUUGGCGCACGGGUGAGUAUCACGUGAGUAAACUGCCCUUGACUUUGGGAUAACUUCAGGAAAAAGCGGCUAAUACCGCAUAGGAUAUCUUGCUGCGUGGGGGGGGUUGGAAAGUUUCGGCGGUUGGGGCUCGAAUCGCGGCUUAUGAGCUUCUUUGUGGGGUAGUGGCUUACCAAGGCUUUGACGGGUAGCCGGCCUGAGAGCGUGACCGGCCACCAUAGGACUGAGAGACGGCCCAGACGCGUAUGUGAGGCAGUGGUGGGGAAUAUUGCACAGCGAGCGGGAGCGAGUGGCAGCAACGCCCCGUGCGGGAAGAUCUCUUUUUAGGGAAAAACAGAUGUGGACUGAACUGUGGAGUUAGUGACGGUAAUGAGUCAAGAAGCACCGGCUAACUACGUG
rnacentral:rRNA from 1 species